CAGCCGUAAACAAUGUGCGUUAGGUGUGUCGGUAACCACGCGUUACUGAUGCGCCGAAGAGAAAUCGUGAAACGCACCACCUGGGAAGUACGGUCGCAAGGCUGAAACUUAAAGGAUUGGCGGGGGAGCACCACAACAGGUGGAGCCUGCGGUUUAAUUGGAUUCAACGCCGGACAUCUCACCGGAUAAGACAGCUGAAUGAUUGUCAAUCUGAAGGUUUUACAUGACUAGCUGAGAGGUGGUGCAUGGCGUCAGUGACU
rnacentral:rRNA from 1 species